AAAUUGAAGAGUUUGAUCAUGGCUCAGAUUGAACGCUGGCGGCAGGCCUAACACAUGCAAGUCGAGCGGAAACGAGUUAUCUGAACCUUCGGGGAACGAUAACGGCGUCGAGCGGCGGACGGGUGAGUAAUGCCUAGGAAAUUGCCCUGAUGUGGGGGAUAACCAUUGGAAACGAUGGCUAAUACCGCAUGAUGCCUACGGGCCAAAGAGGGGGACCUUGGG
rnacentral:rRNA from 1 species